rnacentral:rRNA from 1 species
GUGUCAGCCGCCGCGGUAAUACGGAGGGUGCAAGCGUUGUUCGGAAUCACUGGGCGUAAAGCGCGUGUAGGCGGCUAUUUAAGUCUGAUGUGAAAGCCCUGGGCUUAACCCAGGAAGUGCAUUGGAUACUGGGUAGCUCGAGUACCGGAGAGGAGGGUGGAAUUCCUGGUGUAGCGGUGAAAUGCGUAGAUAUCAGGAGGAACACCGGUGGCGAAGGCGUCCCUCUGGCCGGAUACUGACGCUGAGACGCGAAAGCGUGGGGAGCAAACAGGAUUAGAAACCCCCGUAGUCC